GUCCUGGCCCGAUCCCAGAGGACUCUUCAUGUCGUGCACCUGCAGAACGUCGGGGGCGCUGCCACUUAGGCCGCUGAGAGCCUGCUGGGCGAUAUCCUGUGAUGACAGGGGACUAAGGAGUAUAUGAAGGUGUGCUUCAAAGGUCUGACCUUCUAAUUUUCAAUGGGGAAUUCUAUUUUAAGACUCCCAGGAAGAGCCUGUGCUGAUUUCUUCAGAAGGCAUACACUAUGUCUUAUUUAUUUCUGCUCAGUAAAUGUUGAAGAAGUCAGGCAGUGAAGGAAUGGACCAAAGAAGGAGUCAAGCAAACGGGCAUGCAGACUCUUCUGUAUUUUCUAGAUCAUCUAAUCUGAACAUUGACAUUUGAGCAGGCCAUGAGGAUCUCCUAACAAGACUGCAACUUAAUUAUCAUUGUAUUAUUCGCUUCUUGUGCUAUUUCUGUUGCAUACAAAGCUUUCAGUAAAAUAAGUUAUGUUGAGUUGAUUGAAACUAAAAUAAAUAUUGAAAUCUGGGAGCAUAAA